UGCAGUCGAGCGGAUGAGGGAGCUUGCUCCUGGAUUCAGCGGCGGACGGGUGAGUAAUGCCUAGGAAUCUGCCUGGUAGUGGGGGAUAACGUCCGGAAACGGGCGCUAAUACCGCAUACGUCCUGAGGGAGAAAGUGGGGGAUCUUCGGACCUCACGCUAUCAGAUGAGCCUAGGUCGGAUUAGCUAGUUGGUGGGGUAAAGGCCUACCAAGGCGACGAUCCGUAACUGGUCUGAGAGGAUGAUCAGUCACACUGGAACUGAGACACGGUCCAGACUCCUACGGGAGGCAGCAGUGGGGAAUAUUGGACAAUGGGCGAAAGCCUGAUCCAGCCAUGCCGCGUGUGUGAAGAAGGUCUUCGGAUUGUAAAGCACUUUAAGUUGGGAGGAAGGGCAGUAAGUUAAUACCUUGCUGUUUUGACGUUACCAACAGAAUAAGCACCGGCUAACUUCGUGCCAGCAGCCGCGGUAAUACGAAGGGUGCAAGCGUUAAUCGGAAUUACUGGGCGUAAAGCGCGCGUAGGUGGUUCAGCAAGUUGGAUGUGAAAUCCCCGGGCUCAACCUGGGAACUGCAUCCAAAACUACUGAGCUAGAGUACGGUAGAGGGUGGUGGAAUUUCCUGUGUAGCGGUGAAAUGCGUAGAUAUAGGAAGGAACACCAGUGGCGAAGGCGACCACCUGGACUGAUACUGACACUGAGUGCGAAAGCGUGGGGAGCAAACAGGAUUAGAUACCCUGGUAGUCCACGCCGUAAACGAUGUCGACUA
rnacentral:rRNA from 1 species